rnacentral:rRNA from 1 species
AGAGUUUGAUCCUGGCUCAGGAUGAACGCUGGCGGCGUGCUUAACACAUGCAAGUCGAGCGGAAAUAUUUUAAAUGAAGGCUUCGGUUGGUUUAGCGGCGGACGGGUGAGUAACGUGUGGGUAACCUGCCUUCUACUGGGGAAUAAUCAUUUGAAAAGAUGACUAAUACCGCAUGUCGUCACUAAGGGGCAUCUCUUGGUGAAAAAAGGAGUAAUCCGGUAUAUGAUGGACCCGCAUCUGAUUAGCUAGUAGGUGGGGUAAUGGCCUACCUAGGCGACGAUGGUUAGGGGACCUGAGAGGGUGAUCCGCCACACUGGCACUGGAACACGGGCCAGACUCCUACGGGAGGCAGCAGUGAGGAAUAUUGCACAAUGGGGGAAACCCUGACGCAGCGACGCCGCGUGAGUGAGGAAGGCCUUCGGGUCGUAAAGCUCUGUCAAGAGGAAAGAAGUGUACAAUGGCUAAUUACCUUUUGUGUUUGACGGUACCUCUUAAGGAAGCACCGGCUAACUCCGUGCCAGCAGCCGCGGUAAUACGGAGGGUGCAAGCGUUAUUCGGAAUCACUGGGCGUAAAGGGCGCGUAGGCGGUUUGGAAAGUUGGAUGUGAAAGCUCCUGGCUUAACUGGGGAGGUCGUUCAAAACUACCAGACUAGAGAAUGGGAGAGGGAAGUGGAAUUCCCGGGGUGUAGU